rnacentral:rRNA from 1 species
UGUACUUUUGCAUAAUGGGUCAGCUAGUUAAUAGGAGUAGCAAGGUUAACAGCCCUAGCGAAAGCGACUGGACUAAAAAAAUCCAAAAAAUAAUAAUAAUAAUAAUAAUAAUAAUAUUAUUAUAUUUUUUUUUUAUUUUUUAGUGUUGGAUAAGUUACUUUUAUUAGACCCGAAGCCAGGUGAUCUUACCAAGACCAGAUUAUAAUGGAUCGAACGGUUGAAUGUUGCAUAAUUCUCCGAUGAGUUUUGGUAAGCGGUGAAAUACCAAUCUGACCUGGUGAUAGCUGGUUUUCUACGAAACAUAA